rnacentral:rRNA from 1 species
GACGUAGGGUGCGAGCGUUGUCCGGAAUUAUUGGGCGUAAAGAGCUUGUAGGCGGUCUGUCGCGUCUGCUGUGAAAAUCCGGGGCUCAACCCCGGACUUGCAGUGGGUACGGGCAGACUAGAGGUGUGGUAGGGGAGACUGGAAUUCCUGGUGAUAGCGGUGAAAUGCGCAGAUAUCAGGAGGAACACCGAUGGCGAAGGCAGGUCUCUGGGCCAC